rnacentral:sRNA from 1 species
CGGGCACUUUAGGGGGACUGCCGGUGACAAGCCGGAGGAGGGUGGGGAUGACGUCAAGUCCUCAUGGCCUUUAUGACCAGGGCUACACACGUGUUACAAUGGGAGUUACAGAGGGAAGCUAAGCCGCGAGGCCAUGCCAAUCCCAGAAAAACUUUCUCAGUUCGGAUCGCAGUCUGCAACUCGACUGCGUGAAGCUGGAAUCGCUAGUAAUCGCGGAUCAGCACGCCGCGGUGAAUACGUUCCCGGGCCUUGUACACACCGCCCGUCACACCAUGGGAGCCGACAAGGGCAGAAGUCGCCGAGCUAACUUCGGGAAGCAGGCGCCCAAGCUGUUGUUGACGACUGGGGUGAAGUCGUAACAAGGUAGCCGUAGGAGAACCUGCGGCUGGAUCACCUCCUUUCUAAGGACGCCGGAAAUGCUUUAUGCUUAUCUCCGGAUAGUCAAAGUCGAAACAGACUCUCUUCUCUUCUCUCCCUUUUCUCCUGUAAAUACUAGGUUAUGGAUUUAGAGCAACGAAGAAAUUGAAUUCGUUACUGUGGACUCCUAAUUUCAAGAGGGGCCUGUAGCUCAGCUUGGUUAGAGCGCAUCCCUGAUAAGGAUGAGGCCGGUGGUUCAAGUCCACCCAGGCCCACCAGCUCAUUUUUGAUUUAGAUAUGGAUAUGGAUUUGGAUUUAGCGGCUAUGAUGGUGGCAAAUCUGAGGUCUGGUAAUCCAAAUCAGAUAUUAAAGAUCGGGGGAUUAGCUCAGCUGGUAGAGCGCCUGCUUUGCAAGCAGGAGGUCAGCGGUUCGACCCCGCUAUCCUCCACCAAAUUAAUGAACAGUAAAAAAAGGUGGUGCAGCUUAAGCAGAAGAUAAGCUUCAGCAAUUAUUUAAUAAUUUCUGAAUUUUAUUUUUUAAUAUCUUAGACAAUUAAAUCGGAGGUUUUGGAGACGCAAGAUCAAAUGUGAGGGUCUCCAAGGGUUGACGAUCUUGACUGUUAAAGUCAGGUAGUAAGGGCGCAGGGCGGAUGCCUUGGCUCUGGGAAGCGAAGAAGGACGUGGCCAGCUGCGAUAAGCCUCGGG